rnacentral:rRNA from 1 species
GAUGAACGCUGGCGGCGUGCCUAAUACAUGCAAGUCGAGCGAACGGACGAGAAGCUUGCUUCUCUGAUGUUAGCGGCGGACGGGUGAGUAACACGUGGAUAACCUACCUAUAAGACUGGGAUAACUUCGGGAAACCGGAGCUAAUACCGGAUAAUAUUUUGAACCGCAUGGUUCAAAAGUGAAAGACGGUCUUGCUGUCACUGAUAGAUGGAUCCGCGCUGCAUUAGCUAGUUGGUAAGGUAACGGCUUACCAAGGCAACGAUGCAUAGCCGACCUGAGAGGGUGAUCGGCCACACUGGAACUGAGACACGGUCCAGACUCCUACGGGAGGCAGCAGUAGAGAAUCUUCCGCAAUGGGCGAAAGCCUGACGGAGCAACGCCGCGUGAGUGAUGAAGGUCUUCGGAUCGUAAAACUCUGUUAUUAGGGAAGAACAUAUGUGUAAGUAACUGUGCACAUCUUGACGGUACCUAAUCAGAAAGCCACGGCUAACUACGUG